rnacentral:rRNA from 1 species
UACGAAGGGGGCUAGCGUUGCUCGGAAUCACUGGGCGUAAAGGGUGCGUAGGCGGGUCUUUAAGUCAGGGGUGAAAUCCUGGAGCUCAACUCCAGAACUGCCUUUGAUACUGAGGAUCUUGAGCUCGGGAGAGGUGAAUGGAACUGCGAGUGUAGAGGUGAAAUUCGUAGAUAUUCGCAAGAACACCAGUGGCGAAGGCGGCUCACUGGCCCGAUACUGACGCUGAGGCACGAAAGCGUGGGGAGCAAACAGG